CUUCCUUGUACUUCCCUUUCCUUCUCUGUUUGGUUUAAUUGCUAACUUGGGAUAUUCCGUGAAAAAGGAGGUCUCUCAGAGGUUUCUUGGAUAGGUUCUCAUUCUAGUUGCAGGAUGCAAUAUACCACAAGUAAUGAGUUCUUGUUCACUGUCAACAGACAGUUGAAAAUUGAUUCACUGGUAAGUGUAAAUUGUUUUUAUGACAAGUCCACUUUAAAGAAACAAAAGUGCAUCAAUUAAAAUUAGUUUUCUGUAAAGAAAAUGUCAAUAAUAAGGAAAAGUAAUAGAACAUGCAUAUUUGCAUAUAUGUGUCCCAGAAAUUGUGCAGCAGGAAAUGCUAUGGAAUCUAUGCUCAUCUGUGGAUUAUCU